GUUAGAUCGCCUGGCAAAUUUGGUCGUUUCGAAAGCCGAGGCUGCAAAAAUGGGUUAUGUAAAUAAGGGAUGAGACGCUUUUAACUCUUUCGGGAUAGGCGCAAUCCCGAUCGUUAUUGAAAUUCUGAAGCGGUCGGUCGCGGUCCUGAGUUCCUCGUCGGAUACAGGCAGGAGGAGCUGUACGUUUAAGUUGUCGAAAAGAAAUUGGACGAAAAUAUAAUGUAAAGCGAUUCUGCAGAGGAAGUUGAAGGAAGAAAUCGCUGAACUCGCUUACAAAAUCGCCAUUUUUCCGGAACGGUGACUGUGCGUGAUGAUGAACGAUAGAGAGUCUCCCGUCUCCCUCCCUCUUCUGCUUUCCUACGCCGCCGUCGCCGUCGCAGUAUCAGGAACAAACGCGAUGCACCUCUGAGUGCUGCAUUUCUGAUCGAACCUGGUGCACGCAACCGGCCGGCCGUUCCGUGGAAUUUCGCGGAGAAGCGCAAAGAUCGGGGGAGGCAUUAAACGAUCCCCGAUAAAUGUGCUCGCGCGCGGUCUUUCUCAGCGGCGGCGGCGAUCCGCUCCGAGAUUAACUCGUAACUGAUCGAACGUCGGGGGCGUGCGAUACGUCCGUCAAGACUUCGCCGAGACUUCGGAUAUCAGGAGAGUGCGUGUUUAUCAUCUCCGAUUGCAUACGUUAUAAAAAAAAAAAACACACACACAAAGCUGUGCAUAAUUUAAUUUCAAUCAUCCGCCAUCGAAAUAUUUAAUGCGUCAAAUGUAAUCGCUGCACGACGA